GCAAGUCGAGCGCACUGGCCCAACUGAUCUGACGUGCUUGCACAGAAGUGACCACUGUAUUACCAGUGAGCGGCGGACGGGUGAGUAACACGUGGGCAACCUGCCCUGAAGCGGGGGAUAACAUUUGGAAACAGGUGCUAAUACCGCAUAACAACGAAAACCACAUGGUUUUCGUUUCAAAGAUGGUUUCGGCUAUCACUUCAGGAUGGGCCCGCGGUGCAUUAGCUUGUUGGUAGGGUAACGGCCUACCAAGGCAAUGAUGCAUAGCCGAGUUGAGAGACUGAUCGGCCACAAUGGAACUGAGACACGGUCCAUACUCCUACGGGAGGCAGCAGUAGGGAAUCUUCCACAAUGGGCGCAAGCCUGAUGGAGCGACACCGCGUGAGUGAAGAAGGGUUUCGGCUCGUAAAGCUCUGUUGUUGAAGAAGAACGUGCGUGAGAGUAACUGUUCACGCAGUGACGGUAUUCAACCAGAAAGUCACGGCUAACUACGUGCCAGCAGCCGCGGUAAUACGUAGGUGGCAAGCGUUAUCCGGAUUUAUUGGGCGUAAAGCGAGCGCAGGCGGUUGCUUAAGUCUGAUGUGAAAGCCUUCGGCUUAACCGAAGAAGUGCAUCGGAAACUGAGCGACUUGAGUGCAGAAGAGGACAGUGGAACUCCAUGUGUAGCGGUGGAAUGCGUAGAUAUAUGGAAGAACACCAGUGGCGAAGGCGGCUGUCUGGUCUGCAACUGACGCUGAGGCUCGAAAGCAUGGGUAGCGAACAGGAUUAGAUACCCUGGUAGUCCAUGCCGUAAACGAUGAGUGCUAGGUGUUGGAGGGUUUCCGCCCUUCAGUGCCGCAGCUAACGCAUUAAGCACUCCGCCUGGGGAGUACGACCGCAAGGUUGAAACUCAAAGGAAUUGACGGGGGCCCGCACAAGCGGUGGAGCAUGUGGUUUAAUUC
rnacentral:rRNA from 1 species